CAGCUCCAGAGCAGCAGCAAAGGGAAGCAGCGUCCUCGCCAAUACCUGGGCUGUCCUUCAAGGCUCAGUGCAAGGAAAAACACCUGGGUUGGACAUCAGAUAAGGAAAUUGAGACUCAAAGAGGACCCCCAUGGAGAAAGUAAUGAAGCUUGAAUUUAGACCCAAGAUCAUGUCCCUUUCACUUCCUCAGCCUGCCCAGGAAGUUUAUAGCGUGCUCAUGCCACAAACCCUGGAGCUGGAUACGCGCUCAAUUGGCUUGAAGACCUUGGGUAGUGCUGACUUCCAGACCACUGAGGUCACCUGCAUAAGCGAGUCUGGCAACAAAUAAUCGUCUUCCAGAAAAUGACCAGAAACUCAGCCUGCUUUUUGUCAUUUCACCAGCCCCACCAUCUUUCCUUUAUUCUAGAGCUCCUGGCACACUUACAUGAAUCUCUUGAAAGAAGAGAAAUGAGAGCAUUCAUUCCAUACUAAUACAAUUGUGCCCUAUGGAAAGGCUUUUUGCUGGCAGACAUAGUAGACGGACCAUUUCCCAACUUCUUUUUCUUUGCCACCUUCCAGCCAAAGGUGUCCAUAUGACACAGCUCUGGACAGGAUAAUUGGAAGUCUGUUGUGGGAUUUCUGAGAAAGCUUUUGAUUUUCUGACAGAGACAUUUUUGCUUCCCCUUACCACUUCCUACUGGAUUACAGAUGUGAUGGAAAGAGCUGCAGCAGCCAUAAUACAACCAUAAAGGAGAGGAGAAGAGAAUUGCAAAGGCAUCAACCCACAUUGAAUUGAACUGCUAAGUUAACACUAGCAGUUACUUGCCUCCAGAUAUCUUGGUGUGUGAGAACAUUAAAUCUGUAUGUGUCUAAA
rnacentral:lncRNA from 1 species